rnacentral:piRNA from 1 species
ACUUAUACUGGAUAACCCAGCAGGAGA